UUUUAGUUGAUUUUUUGAACUAUGUUUAGUAAUUGUCUGAGCAGCAAAUCGGUUGGUUUCCAUAGCUAUAUCAUGAAACACACUAUCCGGAACUAACAAACAAUAGAAAUCCUCUGGUUUGGAUUUUGCCAUCGUAUUUCUCAAACUAUAAGGUUUCAAAUCAGGGCACUCUGUGAAAGGUAUAAUUCUUCUUUGCUUACCCGCUGGUUCAUACCAUAAAUCGGUCUCAAGCCUUGUGCUAACCUGCUGUUCUGGGUUUUCUUCUUCGUCACCACUUUCUAUCACAUACCGUCUCUUCCUGUUUCCUCGACUAUGAAAAAUUACUUCUGUAUCGUCACAAUUUUCACUACAACAUGGAAUUUCUAACAGCGGGGAAUCUCUUUGAGUCAGUUGUUUUUCUAGUUCGUCAAUUGCUUGCAGAUCUACCAACGAUAAUUCAAAAUCACACGUAUUAUCAAUAAUGGACAUGAUUACAAUAGCUAUCGUCACACAAAAUCUCCAAAAACACAAAAAAAAGCAAUGGAUGCGCGCACUUACUUCCGCAGCUAAUUCGAAGCGACUACUAAAUAAACACUGUAGGUACAUCGCAUGGCUCGCGCCGGACUGGUUGCAACCUGCAAGGAAUGAACUACGACACGCGUAGGUACUUUUGUUCAAACGGCCGAACGCCGCACCGAGUGAUUUCCCGCGCAAAUAAAUUGGCGGCCGGCGGACGGUGCUUGACAAAAUGCUUGACAUGGCCCAAUGGCUAUGCACAUAUGCCAGUCAUUUUAUUUUUUGCUUUAUUUUACAUUAUAAUCACCGGAAACCAAUUAAAAUAGUCAUAUAAUGUGAUUUACUUGAACAUACAAUCAAAAAACAAAAAUAAAAAAAAAACAACAAAAAUCAAUUCAAAAUUUUACUAUGGCAGUUAACGUGUUAACGUGUUAAUAUGUAAUAAUGCAAUUGUGAUGUACAACAAAAUGUUAAUAAAUAAAUUUCCAAAAAAUAAUAUUACAUUCAUACUUGUUCUAAAAAAAUAGCUUAUUUAAUUUUAUUAAGCUAUUGUUGUUUAGAUAAUUGUCAAAUGUCUUAGGGGAAAUUGUUGUAAAGUAAAGUGACUUGUUUUGAAAAUUACCUCCUAAAUGUUUUCUGUCUCAAAAACAACAAUUAUGAAUGCCUUUGAUCAUGUUAGUAUUCAUGGACUGUUCUGAUUGCAACUGAAUGCGUGAACGUUUUUAUAAAAAAAAUAUAGACAUCAAGUAAUGUACAGAGUUCAUUAAAUUUAGAUAGUUGUAUACAUUUUUCUAAUACGAAAUUACGGUGGGUUUCAAUUGUAAAAUUAGUUUGCUAAACGUGUAAAUUUAGAUUCUUUAUUACAUAAUGCGCUAACAAUGUACAACGUAAAUAAUACAAAGUUUUAAGAAAUGUUUGUGUAACAUACUGAAUCAAUAUUAUUUUGUAAAUCAUACAUGUGUAAUCAAAGGAUACAAUUUAAUGUAACUUAACGUAUUAUACUGGUUUUGUUUUCGUAAUUAUUUCUGUGAUCUAUUGUUGCGAUUAAUAUUAAAAUAUCUAUUGACAAUAAAAAAGCAGUGAAAAAGGCAUCUUUAACUCAACAGACACCAAUUUUAUUGCUUUGAGUUUUUUUUAAGAAUACAUAGUUUUAGUAACCUUUACACAAUAUUGAACUGAAGUUUCUGUGAAAAAAUAUACAAUAAAUGUGCAAGUUGUGAUAAAUAUUUUUUUUUAAAAUAUUUUAAAUACAAAUAAACAGACAAUUGUAAUUAAAAUGUCAUUUAAUUUUUAUAACUAUGAAAGACCUUCCUGCGUUCAUAUCCCCCAACUCUUUAUUUCAAAAAUAAUUUGAUUAUUGUUUAUUCUUGAAAUGAAGUUAAAAAAAAAAAAAAAAAAAACGACGAACGAAUUGAAUCCAUUGCAAUAAAAGUAAUGUGCUUUUAAUUUACUUACGAAACACGAAAAUUUAUUUGUAAAAGUUUCAUGUACAAACAUGACCUCAUAUUAUUAAUAAUAUAAAAUUAAUAGAAAAUACUACUUUAGUUUUGUAGUUAGUUAACACACACACAUAUGUGUGUGUGAAUACAUAGAAAAUAAUUUUUAUGACGUGCAUUGAUUAUCGAAUACACAUUUAGAUGUAGUUGAUCGUUUUCAAUUUUUGUAUUUUUUUAGACCGAUGCAAGGUUGAUAGCUACAUAUGUGUAUACAGAAAUUGUGAUAUAAUAUAAAAUGUAUAUAAAUGUGAUAUGAUAAUUUAAUAUAGUUUAUAAAAAAUAUUAUUUGCGUUUAUGUAGCUAUAUGUAAAUUACCUACUUCAUAUUUAAAAAAAAAAUUAAUUUCAUAAAAUUGUUUUUCUUACAGGCAGAUCUAGGCUUCAAUAUUUUAAUGGGCUGGUUAUUUAAAUGAUGAUUACAUAUGAUUUGUUAUGAUAAAAUCCGUUUUUAUGACUACAUAAAUUAUGUCGUUAUUAAUAUAUUACUAUUUGGUUUAUAAAUAGAUAUGAAAUUUAUUAAUGUUAUUGGAGUAGAAUUAAAAAAAUCUUUGAGUCAAGAUAUUUCAAGGGUUUUAUUUGUAAAAAAAAUUCAUGUCUAGGUUUUUUAUCUUUCGGAGAUCCUUACGAUCAUAUAACAUUGAUAAUUAUUGUUACGCUUGGGUCGGAAAUACUCCACCAAUACACAUCGGAGUGGUGUGGUGGAUUAAGCACAAACUCUCUCGUAUAAGAGGGUGAGGCCUUCACUUGGCAGGUCCACAUAUCAUUAUGUAUAUUGUUUCUUGUCAUGAAAUAAUAACACUUGUAUACAUUGGUUUUUUCUUCAAUAUGAUUUACAAUCCAAUAGUGAUUGCUUAUCCGCCUAACCGCAUUAGGCUAGCGUGGCGGAUUAGUCUGAUCUUUAUUAUAUUAUAUAAACUUAAUAACUUUCAACAACUAUAUUAAAUUAUCAUAGUAAUUGUUGUCAGUAAUAAUUUUAUAAUUUAAUGUCUGCGAGCCUAGACAAUAUUAUGUAGCGAAUUACGAUUGAUGCCUUUAUUCGUAAUUAGCUAUAUCAUUUUUUUUAGAACUAAAGUAAUUUAAGUACAAAAUGUGGACACUGAAGACACAUUGUGUAAUGCUUAAAGCUACGUGUUGAAAUGUAAAAAGUAUUAUUUUUUAUGUAAAAAUAAUUAAUAAUAAAAAAUAUGUCGGAAAUACUUUGUGUGUUUUCUUGAAGCGGAGUCUCUUGUGCGUAGGCUUGAGGGUUAGACGCAGGAUCUUAAAAUUUUACUGUGGACGCGUUUAUAUAAUUCAGCAGUGUUUAAGCUAAGAGUUCUACGACAAAUUUUACUUAUUGUUUUGUAUAAUUUAAAUGCGUUACGUAUGAUUUAAAUAAAGUAAUAUUUUCAUAUAAAAUACAUAAUGUUUCAUAAUGAAUACUAAAUAAUAAUGGCGUACAUUAUAUAUUUUAUAAUACCAUAAAAAGUACGUCAUACCUAAAUGAAAACCUAUGUAAAUAUCAAUAGUAUACCAUUUAUCAUAAAUGUUAGCUGGUAGAGAAUACUUUUAGCGUUAAGCCCGCCUUUUGUACAAGUCUUUAAUGUAUUGUGCAAUAAAGUAGUAAUAAAUAAUUAAACAAAUAUACUAUGUUAUAGUUUUAAAGUUUCUAAUAAUAAAUAUAGCUCAAACAAA
rnacentral:misc_RNA from 1 species